rnacentral:rRNA from 1 species
UGGGGAAUAUUGGACAAUGGGCGAAAGCCUGAUCCAGCCAUGCCGCGUGAGUGAUGAAGGCCUUAGGGUUGUAAAGCUCUUUUAGCAGGGAAGAUAAUGACGGUACCUGCAGAAAAAGCCCCGGCUAACUUCGUGCCAGCAGCCGCGGUAAUACGAAGGGGGCUAGCGUUGCUCGGAAUUACUGGGCGUAAAGCGCACGUAGGCGGACUCUUAAGUCGGUGGUGAAAUCCUGGAGCUCAACUCCAGAACUGCCUUCGAUACUGGGAGUCUUGAGUUUGGGAGAGGUGAGUGGAACUGCGAGUGUAGAGGUGAAAUUCGUAGAUAUUCGCAAGAACACCAGUGGCGAAGGCGGCUCACUGGCCCGAUACUGACGCUGAGGUGCGAAAGCGUGGGGAGCAAACA